ACUUCCUCCCCUGAAGAAGUGACUUAGACUAUUUCGAGUGCAACCAAUGCUAUAGGCUAAGUUCUUGCCCCUUUGGCUAAUACAUAGGCACAUAUUUAUUGGCUACAAUUCGGUUGACAAGCCCCAACCGCUGGGUUAUCAUGCCUAAAACGUAGGCACUUCAUGGUCCAUGAUCAGCAUGUUUGCUCCCAUGAUCAGCAUGUCUGUCCCAUGAUUAGCAUGUUUGUAGGAGAGUGGCAGCAACCGCCAACUGCUUCCAUGUGCAUUGCAUGUGCGCCUUGGCCGAGCUGAUCCGCGCCUAAGGCUGGCAUUGCGCCC
rnacentral:lncRNA from 1 species